UAGGGAAUAUUGCAAAAUGGGCGAAAGCCCGAUGCAGCAACGCCGCGUGGGCGAUGAAGGCCUUCGGGUCGUAAAGCCCUUUUUGAGGGGAUGAGGAAGGACAGUACCCUCAGAAUAAGCCUCGGCUAACUACGUGCCAGCAGCCGCGGUAAAACGUAGGAGGCGAGCGUUAUCCGGAUUUACUGGGCGUAAAGCGCGUGCAGGCGGAUUGGAGAGUUGGAUGUGGAAGCUCCCGGCUUAACUGGGAGAGGACGUUCAAUACUUCCAGUCUUGAGUGCAGUAGAGGGAAGUGGAAUUCCGGGUGUAGUGGUGAAAUGCGUAGAUAUCCGGAGGAACACCAGUGGCGAAAGCGGCUUCCUGGACUGUAACUGACGCUCAGACGCGAAAGCUAGGGUAGCAAACG
rnacentral:rRNA from 1 species